rnacentral:rRNA from 1 species
UACGAAGGGGGCUAGCGUUGCUCGGAAUCAUUGGGCGUAAAGCGCACGUAGGCGGCUUUUUAAGUCAGGGGUGAAAUCCUGGAGCUCAACUCCAGAACUGCCUUUGAUACUGGGAAGCUUGAGUCCGGGAGAGGUGAGUGGAACUCCGAGUGUAGAGGUGAAAUUCGUAGAUAUUCGGAAGAACACCAGUGGCGAAGGCGGCUCACUGGACGAUUGUUGACGCUGAGGUGCGAAAGCGUGGGGAGCAAACAGG